UAAUACGUAGGUGGCAAGCGUUGUCCGGAUUUAUUGGGUUUAAAGGGUGCGUAGGCGGCCUCUUAAGUCAGCGGUGAAAUCCUUCAGCUUAACUGAAGACGUGCCAUUGAUACUGGGAGGCUUGAAUAUAGUUGAGGUGGGCGGAAUUGACGGUGUAGCGGUGAAAUGCAUAGAUAUCGUCAAGAACACCUAUUGCGAAGGCAGCUCACUAAGCUAUAAUUGACGCUGAGGCACGAAAGUGUGGGGAUCAAACAGG
rnacentral:rRNA from 1 species